rnacentral:rRNA from 1 species
CCUACGGGUGGCAGCAGUGGGGAAUCUUCCGCAAUGGGCGCAAGCCUGACGGAGCAACGCCGCGUGAAUGAAGAAGGUCUUCGGAUUGUAAAGUUCUUUUCUUAGGGAAGAAGGCUUUGGUGGUGAUUCAUGUCUUAAGUUGACGGUACCUAUGGAGAAAGCUCCGGCUAACUACGUGCCAGCAGCCGCGGUAAUACGUAGGGAGCGAGCGUUGUCCGGAAUUACUGGGCGUAAAGGGAGCGUAGGCGGGAACUUAAGUUAGAUGUGAAAGCUCCGGGCUUAACCUGGAGACUGCAUUUAAAACUGGCAGUCUUGAGGGCAGGAGAGGAAGGUGGAAUUCCUGGUGUAGCGGUGAAAUGCGUAGAUAUCAGGAGGAACACCAGUGGCGAAGGCGACUUCCUGGACUGUACCUGACGCUGAGGCGCGAAAGCAUGGGGAGCGAACAGGAUUAGAUACCCCGGUAGUC